rnacentral:rRNA from 1 species
UGCAGAAUCCCGUGAACCAUCGAGUUUUUGAACGCAAGUUGCGCCCGAAGCCGUUAGGCCGAGGGCACGUCUGCCUGGGCGUCACGU